rnacentral:rRNA from 1 species
AGAGUUUGAUCAUGGCUCAGAGCGAACGCUGGCGGCGUGCUUAACACAUGCAAGUCGAGCGAACCGUUUGGGGAAACUCGGACGGUUAGCGGCGGACGGGUGAGUAACACGUGGGUAACCCACCUAGGGGACCGGGAUAACGGCUCGAAAGGGCCGCUAAUACCGGAUACGCUCCCGGGGGCACAAGCCUCGGGGAGGAAAGGUCGCGCAAGCAGCCACUCCUGGACGGGCCCGCGGCCCAUUAGCUAGUUGGCGGGGUAACGGCCCACCAAGGCAAUGAUGGGUAGCCGGUCUGAGAGGAUGACCGGCCACACGGGGACUGAGACACGGCCCCGACUCCUACGGGAGGCAGCAGUGGGGAAUCUUCCGCAAUGGGCGAAAGCCUGACGGAGCGACGCCGCGUGGGGGACGAAGGCCUUCGGGUCGUAAACCCCUGUCAGAGGGAAAGAAGGGUACCGGCGUGAACAGCGCCGGUAUUUGACGGUACCCUCAGAGGAAGCCACGGCCAACUCCGUGCCAGCAGCCGCGGUAAUACGGAGGUGGCAAGCGUUGCUCGGAAUCACUGGGCGUAAAGGGCGCGUAGGCGGGGAGGUAAGUCGGGUGUGAAAUCCCUCGGCCCAACCGAGGAACUGCGCCCGAGACUGCUUCUCUUGAGUCCCGGAGAGGAAGAUGGAAUUCCCGGUGUAGCGGUGAAAUGUGUAGAGAUCGGGAGGAACACCGGUGGCGAAGGCGGUCUUCUGGACGGUGACUGACGCUGAGGCGCGAAAGCGUGGGGAGCAAACGGGAUUAGAUACCCCGGUAGUCCACGCUGUAAACGAUGGGUGCUAGGUGUGGGGGGUAUCGACCCCUCCCGUGCCGAAGCUAACGCAUUAAGCACCCCGCCUGGGGAGUACGGCCGCAAGGUUGAAACUCAAAUGAAUUGACGG